rnacentral:rRNA from 1 species
GACAGAGGGUGCAAACGUUGCUCGGAAUUACUGGGCGUAAAGCGCGUGUAGGCGGUUCCGCAAGUCAGGUGUGAAAGCCCAGGGCUCAACCCUGGAAGUGCACUUGAUACUACGGAGCUUGAGUACUGAAGAGGAGAGCGGAAUUCCCGGUGUAGAGGUGAAAUUCGUAGAUAUCGGGAGGAACACCAGUGGCGAAGGCGGCCCCCUGGGCCGUACCUGACGCUGAGGCGCGAAGGCUAGGGGAGCGAACGGG